GGGGGACCUUCGGGCCUCUUGCCAUCGGAUGUGCCCAGAUGGGAUUAGCUAGUAGGUGGGGUAACGGCUCACCUAGGCGACGAUCCCUAGCUGGUCUGAGAGGAUGACCAGCCACACUGGAACUGAGACACGGUCCAGACUCCUACGGGAGGCAGCAGUGGGGAAUAUUGCACAAUGGGCGCAAGCCUGAUGCAGCCAUGCCGCGUGUAUGAAGAAGGCCUUCGGGUUGUAAAGUACUUUCAGCGGGGAGGAAGGGAGUAAAGUUAAUACCUUUGCUCAUUGACGUUACCCGCAGAAGAAGCUCCGGCUACCUCCGUGCCAGCAGCCGCCGUAAUCCGGAGGGUGCAAGCGUUAAUCGGAAUUACUGGGCGUAAAGCGCACGCAGGCCGUUUC
rnacentral:rRNA from 1 species